AUGUACGGCCGGAAUCUUGGAGUCAUGCCGAUACCAACCACGACUGCUCCCACAUCUGUUUGUACUACUUGCGACGAUGGUCGGAAGCGAAGGUUUUUGCCCUUCCCACCCCAUCCACGCUCAAAACACACCGCCGACGGCAGGAUCUCGAACCUAGGGUUUCCGCGCCACCACCGCCCACCGGCCAAGGCGAGCGGUGGCACCCCCGCAUCGACCUCUGGCGGCGGUGGCGGUGGCGCUGGCACCAAGACCGUGUCUGCCUCGCUGUGGUGGGACCCAUUCGUCACCCUCUGUGACGACCUCGACCGCGCCGCCGCCUCCCCCUCCACCGCUGUCUCCGACACCCUCGCGGAGCGGAUUAAGGGCCACCACGCAUGGCUCCGCGGGGCGGUCUCGAUGUUCGGGAAGCCCAAUGGCGCCUCGAGGGCCGCGCUGGACGCCGGCCAGGUCGCCGUCGGGGAGCACCGCCUGGCCGUCAAGCCCGACCUCAAGGAGGCCAGGCUCCGCGCGAGCAAGUCCCUCAACCUGGACGAGGUGCAAUCGUACAUCCUGGUGAAACGGUCUUCAGAGAGCGCCCCAACGACCCGUGAUGCUGACCCGCAGGAGCUCCUUCGGCGGGUGUCUCUGCAAUACUACCUUGAGUGUCAGUGCCUGCUCAAGUGCAUUCGGAGAAUCUUUGUUCAUGCCACAUGCACAGAUGAUGACUCUGAUUCAUCCGACGCCAUAAAACAAGAGGCCUCACUGUUAGGCAGUUACGAGAUGGAACAGAAUAUGAUUUUAGGUAGGAGGCUUGUCUUAGCCAUGGGAGAAAGCAUAACUGCGAACACGGCUCUUUCUAUUUGUGUGUGA
rnacentral:rRNA from 1 species